UCUCCUUCCCUCACCGCCGCCAGGUAAGGCUAGCCAUGCCACGCCGUCGCGCUGCCCGCCAUGACCCAAGCGAGCUUUAGCUCGAGCUCGGGAUAGCCCCUCGCCGCGCCUCCGACCACCUCUGCCGCCGUGGAGAAGACCGCCAAACCUGAAGACCGCCAAGUUCCGCGCGCCCUGCGUCGUGUCUGCCGUGCCUUCUGCCUCGUCUUCAUGUCCUGUGGGACUAGGUGCAUUUGCAGGUGAGGGAGUCCUGGAUUAUGGGGUCCUCGGGUGUCCGGGCUAUGCGACAUGGGCCAGACUCAUGGGCCGUGAAGAUGCAAGAUAGAAGGCUCUCUCCUGUGUUCGGAUGGGACUCUCCUUGGCGUGCAAGACAAGCUUGGCAUGCAGAUAUGAAGAUUCUUUCUCUGUAAACCGACUCUGUAUAACCCUAGCCUCCUCCGGUGUCUAUAUAAACUGGAGGGUUCAGUACGUAGAGAUAAUCAUAAUCAUACAGGCUAGACAUCUAGGGUUU